GUGGGGAAUCUUGCGCAAUGGGCGAAAGCCUGACGCAGCCAUGCCGCGUGAAUGAUGAAGGUCUUAGGAUUGUAGAAUUCUUUCACCGGGGACGAUAAUGACGGUACCCGGAGAAGAAGCCCCGGCUAACUUCGUGCCAGCAGCCGCGGUAAUACGAAGGGGGCUAGCGUUGCUCGGAAUUACUGGGCGUAAAGGGCGCGUAGGCGGACAGUUUAGUCAGAGGUGAAAGCCCAGGGCUCAACCUUGGAAUUGCCUUUGAUACUGGCUGUCUUGAGUACGGGAGAGGUGAGUGGAACUCCGAGUGUAGAGGUGAAAUUCGUAGAUAUUCGGAAGAACACCAGUGGCGAAGGCGACUCACUGGCCCGUUACUGACGCUGAGGCGCGAAAGCGUGGGGAGCAAACAGGAUUAGAAACCCGAGUAGUCC
rnacentral:rRNA from 1 species